ACGCUGCUCGGCGUCGCGGUCUUCUUCUGCGUGAAGAACCUAUGCACUGACUGACAGAGGUGAUGAGCGUGCAGCUGGCCCGUGACCUCGGGGAGGUGAAAGGAAAUCCUGGCUCAGGGAACAGGACAAGCUCCUGAGCAGGGGGUCCUCGGGGACCUCCUCCCUCCUGGUUCCCUGAUGAUUUGCCAAGAGCCCAGGACUGCUCCUCUCUGUCCUGCCAACUGCCCGGGCCCCGACUGUCCAGCUCACCAAGCCCUUGAAAGCUACCUAAGCAGGCCGUCUGUGUUUCUUCCACAUUUGGAGCUGCAAGUAAAAGAAACUCACUAACGGAACCCCCCAAAACAGGGGGGGAUGCCAGAUACUGUGGCCUGUCAUCCCAGCGGCUUAGGAGGCUGAGGCAGGAGGAUCACAAGUUCAAAGCCAGCCUCAGCAACUUAGUGAGGCCCUAAGCAACUCAGCAAGACACUGUCUCUAAAUAAAGUAUUUUAAAAGGG